AGAGCGAACGCUGGCGGCAGGCCUAACACAUGCAAGUCGAACGGACUCUUCGGAGUUAGUGGCGGACGGGUGAGUAACACGUGGGAACGUGCCUUUUGGUUCGGAAUAGCUCCUGGAAACGGGUGGUAAUGCCGAAUGUGCCCUUCGGGGGAAAGAUUUAUCGCCAUUAGAGCGGCCCGCGUCUGAUUAGCUAGUUGGUGAGGUAAAGGCUCACCAAGGCUACGAUCAGUAGCUGGUCUGAGAGGAUGACCAGCCACAUUGGGACUGAGACACGGCCCAAACUCCUACGGAGGCAGCAGGUGGGGAAUC
rnacentral:rRNA from 1 species